GAAAACAUUUGGUGAAGUGGUGGAUUUAGGCGACGAUCGCCCGCCCUCGGCUCCAGACACAGGCCAGCUGAUCUUGGCGACUGCAGUUCCAGAGUGACCAGUCAUCAACUGAGGGAGAAUAAUGGCUGACAGUAAAAUCCAUGACCAAUCUGAGCAAUUUAAAGCUACCUUAAACUUAAAAGAAGGAAAUUGUAGCAAUAAACAACGGGAAACCUCACU